GACGAACCGAGCGAACGUUGUUCGGAAUCACUGGGCUUAAAGGGCGCGUAGGCGGGCUGCCAAGUUUGGGGUGAAAUCCUCCGGCUCAACCGGGGAAGUGCCUUGAAUACUGGCGGUCUGGAGGGAGGUAGAGGCGUGCGGAACUGUAGGUGGAGCGGUGAAAUGCGUUGAUAUCUACAGGAACUCCGGUGGCGAAGGCGGCACGCUGGACCUUUUCUGACGCUGAGGCGCGAAAGCCAGGGGAGCGAACGGG
rnacentral:rRNA from 1 species